AUAUAUUUUAUUGUCUGUGUAGAUUCUCAGUCGUACAGGUCAUGCACAAAAUGAACCACGCAUCAGUUGCACACAAAAUCACUGUGUUAAAAGAACAAAACCAACAAAACAUGAAUUUCACACAAAAAUAAAAUAAAAAAUUCAAUUCAAUGAAAAUUUACUGUAAGUGAAUGUGAAUUUUGCUGUUGCCAUUCCCCUUGGUAAGUGCCACUCGCAUAUCAGAGGACUGGACUAUGUUGUUAAAAUUAUGUUCCUUUUCUUUAUGUUAUUUCUAUAAUCCUCGAAAAGGGUUCAUUGGUAAGAGUAAGAUUUUUGGGCUGUUUUUUUUUAUUAUUGGAUGCGCUGUCUGACGGUACAGCAAUGCUACUCAAGUCCACUGUAUCGUUGAAAUGUUCUUCAAUAAAGAUAGUUUAAAAAAGAACAAAGCAUUUCCACGUUUGGAACGGCAUGAACAACGCAUUCAAAAUGCAGUUUAAAAAUGCUUUUACGGAUAAAGCACGCACGUACACGCGGUGUGUGUUGAGUCCUCAGCGACUGCCUCACCGAAGCCGGUUUAAGAACCACUGCUCUACAGUGACAGCUUAGAAAAGAUACAUGCAUGUGUUGAACUAUUGUGAGACUAUUACAAAAUUAUUUGACCUGUUCACCUUUGAAUCACCAGCAGGAACACUAAUCUACGGAGCCCCAGACAUGACAUGUUAAAAAAAAAUACUAAUAAUAAUACUUCGUGCGCACAAACUACUUCCUUGUGCGCACGCUGUAACUACGCGCACUUUUACGGACUUGUUACAAACGACGCAGCCGAAACUGCAAGACACAUGCGAUUGCUUAAGGAUGUAAGAUAGGAUGAGAGUCACACAGGCCUUGUGUAUCCACCCCAUCUUUGGAUGAGACAUCAGCAAAUCUUCAGGGUACCACUGAAUGGCAGAGAGCAAAAACAACUAGAAAAAAAACAACAAAUGCAACUUAAGUGGGACGGCAGUACAGGACACGUGUCCGUCCUGGCUCCUCACUGCAACAUGGCCGUCAUAAUAGUAAGAGAGCAAUGGAAUCUACACAGCAAAGUGAGCUGCUUUUAGUUUUUAUGUGGAACAACUCACCCCAAGCAGUCAGCUCCCACUUUAAGAUUGAAUUUAAAGUUUCUAUAACACUUUUCUAGUCAGGCUGUACAGGCACAGUUAAUUAAGGAUCUUUGAUGGCAACAGUUUGACCCUAGAAUGGAUUGUUACAAUCUAUUUGCAAUAGAUUGUUUUCCAAAUUACACAUUCAACUGGAGUAACAAAGAAAAAGGCAUCCCUGACUGAUGGCUGAGAAGAUCAUGACCUUUAAUUAGCAAAGUCGCUGCCAAAUUGACAUGUACUGUGGGGGAGUUGCUUGUUUUGUUUAUGAAAACGAUUGUACUAUUUGGUAUUCAAAAUCAAGUGUUAUGGACAAUUUUAACAUUUAAUUUUGGAUUUGAGUCACUGAUGUUGUAGUGGUGCACUCGCCUGACUUUGGUGUGGGCAGCAUGGGUUCAGUUCCCACUCAGUGAUGGUGUGAAUGUGAGUGCAAAUGGUUAUCCCUGUCUAUAUGUUUCCUGCGACUGACUGCCGACCAGUUCAGGGUGUAGUCCGCCUUUCGCCCGAAGUCAGCUGGGAUAGGCUCCAGCACCCUGUGACCCUAACCAGGAUAAGCAGUGUUGACAAUGGAUGGAUGGAUGCAGUUUGGAUUGGAUUUUUUUGUGCAAUUCACACUUGUGCAUAUAUGACAAAAUAUAGCGGUGGUUAUAGUAGCUUCCGCCAUUCUGAGAAAGCGUUUGGCAACUUUUGAAAGCACAUUACUUGUCCAUUUUUUCAUUAAUCCAAAGUUGGAUGCAUACUGUCCAAAAUGUCUGCAGAAGAUGGUCUAAUUGACUUAUUAUUAUUAUUUUUUUUUCUAAUCUUCAGUCUGAAAAAAAAUGUUUCAAGAGCUUUGAUGAGUUAUCUACAAUACUUCGUGUGAGGUUUUACACUGCUUCACUUGGUGUUGUAAAUCUAAAAACGUGAGCCGUACUGUCUGGCUUGGGGCGGCCCACAUGUGAAGAAAAAAACACAACCAAGGAGGACUGAGGGAAGAGGUUUGGAUUACGCACUGAGACAUGAAUGGAGACACAGAUGUGAUAAGUCACUGUGAAUAACAAUCUAAUUAAAUAAUGGCUAAUAAAGUAAAUUAAAACUGAAUGUGGAAUGUACUGAAGAAAGUGCAAACGUUUGGCUAACUAAAUGUUGCAUGCAUGCAUUCUGUUUCUGUUACUAACUUGUUUCCCAGUCCACUACUGUCGACGCUCCUAACCCCCAAGAUGCAGCCAACUGCAGUGAUAACAGUAAUUAUUUUUAUUAUGAAAAGUACUAGUAAUAUUAGCAGGAGUACUGAGGAUGUUAGCGACAUAACAUAGAAUUGAAUUUGUACUAUAUAUAUAUAUAAUCUAAAUGUGUUGUAUGAAUGAUGGGUUGUAUGUACCAACAGACAGAUAACCUUGGUCAUUAAGUGACUUUCAAACUUAGAAGUCAUCCCAAAGUGAAAUAAAUGAGAGCGGCUCUUUCAAAAGGAGAGGAGUCGAGCCACCAAAGAGCAUGUGGACAAGCCCUAGGUCCAUUGCUCCAGUGUGGGUGACUUAACCAUAAGCAUCUUCAGAUCUUACUGUUUAACACGUUGAUGCCCAGGGACUGUGACUUUGGAGCCAGCCAGCUGGGGAGGAGCCUAGUGAUCACUCACUCCACAGAUGGAAGUGAUAGCUUCUGAGCAUGUCUGUUAAUUAUAGUGCCAUCCUCUUUUGAAAACUGCAAACAAAAAUUUGAACCAUUUUUGACAGCUAUAAAAACACCCUAAAUGUGAUUCUUUUACCUAGAAAUGUGAUGACUUAUCCUACAUAGACCAAUGGUGUUGUCAAUGUACAGUUGACCCAUGGCAACUAAAAUGGAUUUUAGAUUUACCAGUGUCUUAAUUCAAAGAAAAUGGGAGUAAUGUUGGAAAUCUUAAAACUGGACAUGCCAUUGAUGCCUGUGUUUUUUAUGGGACAUUGAUAACAGUGAUCAAGAAGGAGCUUGAAACAAUCCCGACAACUGUCUACGUUUCUAUGACAUUUACAUAGGUUACCACAGAAACAUGCUCCUAUUGGUCUUAAAAAGUCAUGGCGGAAUCUCGAAACAUCCAUCCAUCCAUUUUCUGUACCGCUUAUCCUCAGUGAAGAGUAAAACAGAAUUUGAAUGGCUGUUAUUUUUUCCAUGGCUUAGGUAAAAUGGGACAUUGAAAUGUUUUGAUAGAUGUUUUUAUUCAAAAAAGGAAUGUAAAACAUAAAAUGCACUUCCCCUUUUCUUUAAAACAUUAAGGAUUAGUUUUAUGGCAGACAGGCUGUUGAUACACUUUGACAAGAUCUGUAGUUUACAAUUUAGGAGCGUGAUGCAAUAAACUGUAAAGUGUGCAUGUAUACUUGCACACAUGCAUACACACACGCGUAUUUCUGCUUGUGUAUUGGCUUUUGUUUUGGUGUUCAGAGAAGAACCACCUUAAUUUUCAUUCAGCAACUAUUAUCACACUAGUGUGAAGAUAGCGCCAUCCUGUGGAAAACUAAUUUAACACAAGACAGUGUAAGGCACUUGAGUCCACUACUGUACUGUGCAGUAGAGUACUCUAUUCUGUUAACCUGGCCGCCACCUUCUCGGUGCAGACAUUUAGGGUUACCAAAAAAAAAUAAUAAUAAAUAAAUCUAAAAACCAGAACACAGCAGUGCAGGGACAUCAGCAGCUAUAUGGUUAAAACAUUGUCAAAAGUCUGUUAUAAACUUUUGAGUAAAUCUCAAUUUCUCCAUACAUAUAAAUAAAUGUAGAGUAUAAUACUGGCGUUCUUAAAAUAUUGGGAUAACUG